GUAGGGAGCAAGCGUUGUCCGGAUUUACUGGGUGUAAAGGGUGCGUAGGCGGCUUUGCAAGUCAGAUGUGAAAUCUAUGGGCUCAACCCAUAAACUGCAUUUGAAACUGUAGAGCUUGAGUGAAGUAGAGGCAGGCGGAAUUCCCCGUGUAGCGGUGAAAUGCGUAGAGAUGGGGAGGAACACCAGUGGCGAAGGCGGCCUGCUGGGCUUUAACUGACGCUGAGGCACGAAAGCGUGGGUAGCAAACAGGAUUAGAUACCCUGGUAGCCCACGCUGUAAACGAUGAUUACUAGGUGUGGGGGGUCUGACCCCUUCCGUGCCGGAGUUAACACAAUAAGUAAUCCACCUGGGGAGUACGGCCGCAAGGUUG
rnacentral:rRNA from 1 species